rnacentral:rRNA from 1 species
UACGGAGGGAGCUAGCGUUAUUCGGAAUUACUGGGCGUAAAGCGCACGUAGGCGGCUUUGUAAGUUAGAGGUGAAAGCCUGGAGCUCAACUCCAGAAUUGCCUUUAAGACUGCAUCGCUUGAAUCCAGGAGAGGUGAGUGGAAUUCCGAGUGUAGAGGUGAAAUUCGUAGAUAUUCGGAAGAACACCAGUGGCGAAGGCGGCUCACUGGAGCUGGUAUUGACGCUGAGGUGCGAAAGCGUGGGGAGCAAACAGGG